AAUUCGCCCUUAGAGUUUGAUCCUGGCUCAGAUUGAACGCUGGCGGCAUGCCUUACACAUGCAAGUCGAACGGUAACGCGGGGCAACCUGGCGACGAGUGGCGAACGGGUGAGUAAUAUAUCGGAACGUGCCCAGUCGUGGGGGAUAACUGCUCGAAAGAGCAGCUAAUACCGCAUACGACCUGAGGGUGAAAGCGGGGGAUCUUCGGACCUCGCGCGAUUGGAGCGGCCGAUAUCAGAUUAGGUAGUUGGUGGGGUAAAGGCCUACCAAGCCGACGAUCUGUAGCUGGUCUGAGAGGACGACCAGCCACACUGGGACUGAGACACGGCCCAGACUCCUACGGGAGGCAGCAGUGGGGAAUUUUGGACAAUGGGGGCAACCCUGAUCCAGCCAUGCCGCGUGCGGGAAGAAGGCCUUCGGGUUGUAAACCCCU
rnacentral:rRNA from 1 species